rnacentral:lncRNA from 1 species
ACGCGUCGCCUCUUGCGCUGCUUCCGAUCAAAUCCAGCGGCGGCGGAGGGAGGGAGGAUUGCUGGAGCGAGAGAGCUACGGGCGUUCUGAUCGAUGCGUGGGGGAAGAUUCACUUGGAGCUGAGCAGAGGGAACCUGAAACAGAAGCACUGGGAAGAGGUGGCGGAGACGGUGAGAAGGAAGGCGGAGGAUAACGGUAAGACUCCCAAGACGGAUGUACAGUGCAAGAACAGGAUGGAUACGGUCAAGAAGAAGUAUAAGCAAGAGAAGUUAACACGUGGCCGUAGCAGCAGCUGGGUGUUCUUUGAUAAGCUUGACCGUUUGAUUGGUUCAACGGCCAAGAUCUCAUCUCCACCUCCUCCUAGAGGGUUGCUUAAGAUUCCUAUGGGGAAAAGUUGGAAUCUUUACCAUCGGCAAGGUGAGGCUGAAACGCCGCGUUUUGGGGAUAAGGCUAGGGUUAAAGCUGCUUCGAAGAGUUGGUUUGAUUCAGAUUCGGAGUCUGAAGCAACUAUGUCAGAGGACUCUGGAGAUCGUUUACCGCCUCCUCCUCUGUCGAAGAGGAAGCAAGGAGGAGGAAACACGUGGAGGGAGGUGAGUAGUGCCAUCAUGAGAUUUGGUGAAGCUUACGAGCAAAUAGAGAAUGCGAAGCUGCGACAGGUGGCUGAGAUGGAGAAAGAGAGGUUGAGGUUCUUCAAGGAGGUGGAGAUGCAGAGGAUGCAGUUCUUUGUGAAGAUUCAGUUUGAGUUGUCGCAGCUUAAGCAGCAAAGGGAGGAGAAUGGGAAACAAUAGUAAUAACAUGAAUGCGAUUGUCAACAAUAGCAACAACGAUGUUAGGAACUAGUAGAGUUUAGUGAUUUCAGUUCGUAUUUUAGAUUUGAGUUUUGAAAAUUGUUCAAAAGAAGAAACUUUAUUUUUAGGAUUUAUGAGUGUAUUAAUAUUUUACCAUUUUUUUGUUGAAAAGAAAAUUAGAUUUGAGUUUAAUUUGCUUUUCCGACAAGCUGUGACCGAACGGUAUAAUUUGAGGGGGAAUAAAAUUAUAAAACCAUUAAACGGUCUAAUUUUUCCAUAUCGGCACGUUUUAAACCCUCCAUAUUGAUAACCUGGUUGAUAGAAGCCUCCUUCAACCAAACCAAGCUUAUAGCAUUUCUUCACAAUCAUCAUCACAUAGAAGCUACUUGUAAGUCAAAAGAACAUAUAUGAAUAUGAUGCAUAUAAGCACAGAUGAUUCAUCUUUUACUUGAUCGUUGAUUGACAAUUAGUUCUUGAGAAGUACCGAGCCUCCCAGGUCUAAUAUGAAUCCCAGUGUAACCCUUAGUUGCUCUCUGUGCACCGUGUUUGAGGAUUCCGACUCUCAUAGUUGAGCACUUCAGCAAUUUGACGGAAAGCAAACACUCUAGACAGCUUAGAGGGUUCACAUGAUCCAAUGUUACACGCUACACAAGAAAAGGACUAAUAGUAACUGUUGUCGUUUUGUGUUACCGACAGCCACGUCAGUGCUUUUUCUGUUUCAAUUUACUCGGAGACUUGAAAAAGUAGCUUUGAUCUCUCAAGUUCUGCUUCUACAUCAUCUGGAAUUUGUUUGCUGGAUCAUCCUUCAGACACAUGUGAGUACUUCUAAAGUCAGCUCUCUUUACAUCAUAUAUACUUCUUCUUUUUUGAGCAAGACAUCAUAUAUACUUUAUAUGAACAUUCUUUAAUGAUCGCAACCAAAGUAUAUCUAUUUCUUUUAGUUUCUUGUAAUUUAAAGAUUUAAGAUAGACGAAUCAAACAUGGUCGGAUCUGAUAUUUCGGGAGCUAUAAACAUUUUUAAGAACUUUAAUAAAAAAAUAUCAUAAUUUCGGGAGUCUAUAAUGUAAAAAAUUUGGAGGCCAAAACUAAUGUUUCAUAGGACUCAUCCGGCUUUGGUAAUGGAUCAUUGGUUUAGGCAUAGUUCUUGUCUCGUUAAAGAUCAAAUAAAAUGAUGGCAAUAAGGCCUCUUCAAGAAUGGUAAUUCUGUUUAGUCUUGUUGGAUCAUUUGUGAGAGUGUUCUUUCCUUUGAUAUGAUACUCUACAUAGAUGGAUCAAAUCGUUAACGUGAAUGAGUUUCAAGAGCUGGCCAAAAGGGCUCUCCCCAAGAUGUAUUAUGAUUUCUAUAGCGGAGGAGCAGAGGAUCAACACACUCUCAAGGAAAAUGUGGAAGCUUUCACUAGAAUCAUGUAACACAUAUCAAUAUGACAAUAUAUCUUUUUUGGUUUCGUUGGCCCCGUUUUUACCUGUGUGCUCAUGUGCUUUGAUGUUCAGGUUCCGUCCUCGGGUUCUCGUUGAUGUGAGCAAGAUAGAUAUGUCUACCAGAAUCUUAGGUUACCCAAUCUCAGCUCCAAUCAUGAUUGCUCCAACAGCAAUGCAUAUGUUGGCUCAUCCACAAGGUCUCUCUUUACUUUUUAUUGGUACAUGCAGCUGUUAUAUAUGGAAACUUAUUUUUAUUUGUCUUUUAUGUUAGGAGAAACCGCCACUGCAAAAGCUGCAGCUGCGUGUAACACUAUCAUGGUACUAAAGUGUUUACUGGAACACAUGUUAUUGCAUUCUGUUUUGGGUCUUAAGGUGAUGACUAUACUUCUUUUUUUGUGGUUGUGUGAGUUUCAGAUAGUAUCAUACAUGGCGUCAUGCACUAUUGAGGAAGUUGCUUCCAGUUGUAACGCUGUUCGGUUUCUUCAAAUAUAUGUAACUGCACAAUCUAGACAUUUUCAUCUGCUUUUGUUUAUUCUUUAGGCCUUGGUUCUUAGUUCGCUCUGAUAUAUCUUUAAUAGGUGUACAAGAGACGCGAUGUAACUGCUCAGAUGGUGAAAAGAGCUGAGAAAGCUGGAUUCAAGGCCAUUGUUCUGACUGUUGAUGUUCCUAAAUUUGGCAGAAGGGAAGCAGAUAUAAAGAACAAGUAACAUUCUCCAUUACAACUUUUCUUAUCCUGUAUAUCUAACAAAUAACAUUCCUUCCUUUUCAACUUAGAAGUCGUUUAAAUAUUCAAUUGUCUUUAUUUGACUAUUAAAAAUUCUAUUGCAUUUAAGAUUUUUGAAAAAAAACUUAAUUAUGGGUAAAAAGAAUAAAUUAAUAGAAAAAUUGUAUCGAAAUCAUCAAAUGAUACUUAUUUUGUAAUGACAAGUACUACUUAGAAUGACGACAAAGGUAGUACUAGUUUUUUUUGUUGAAUGAUUCAAUGCUUCUGUUCUGUAGAAUGGUAUGCCCACAGCUGAGGAACUUCGAAGGUUUAAUUUCAACGGAAGUCCUACCUGUGAGUAGAGCUUGAAGUUAAGGUUCAUGUUAAGUAAAACCAUAACAUGUUGUUGACUUGAUAACUUUUUUUCUCAGAGUGAAGGUUCAGGGGUUGAAGCCUUAGCCUCUAGUACAUUUGAUGCUUCCUUAACUUGGAAGGUAAUAAUCUUUGUGAGUUCAUUAUGUUCGUGACCUUGAAUACUCCCAUGACAAUGGUAGAACAUUCCUUAUAAUGUUUGCAUUGGAAAACUUUAGGACAUCGAAUGGUUAAGGUCUAUUACAAAGUUGCCAAUUAUGGUUAAGGGGAUACUCACCCGUGAAGACGGUAAGGUUCUUGUGUCAUACUCUGAUCUAUAUAUAACUAUAUAGCUUGUAUCAUAUUAUGAUAUUUUUGAUGAUAUGUUCAGCUCUUAGGGCUAUUGAAGCUGGUGUAGAUGGAAUAGUUGUAUCAAACCAUGGGGCCCGCCAGCUUGACUAUUCACCAGCUACUAUAACUGUUUUAGAAGAGGUAAAAAACCCAUCAAAGCUUUUGCGUAAGACCAAACUUAUUCUUCUUUAUGAACACAAUGGUCUUCUUUUUGAAACUGCAGAUUGUUCAUGUUGUUGGAGGGAGGGUACCGGUUUUGCUUGAUGGAGGUGUGAGACGAGGAACAGAUGUUUUCAAAGCGUUGGCACUAGGAGCACAAGCUGUUCUUGUAAGCUUUUAAAUGCUGAGGAUUUGGACAUUUGGCACAUAUCUUUCUGGUUGUUUUAUGUUGAUGUAAUGACGCAAUUUGGUUGGGUUAUGCAGAUAGGGAGGCCUGUAGUCUAUGGGCUUGCAGCUAAAGGUGAAGAUGGAGUGAGAAAAGUGAUUGACAUGUUGAAAAAUGAGCUGGAGUUAACUAUGGCUCUUUCUGGUUGUCCCACCAUUGAUGACAUAACCAGAAACAAUGUUAGGACUGAGAGUGAGAGACUUAAAUCUAUGCUCUGAUCCUCAAAGACAUUUGUGGAAAGUGAUUGGUCUUUGUGUUGUUUCUAUGAACACCUAUGAGAGAAGGAUUUUCAGAAAGAUUGUAUCACGUUGUAUACAGUUUCAUAAGUGAAAUUCUCUGGUCUGAAACGAAAACACAGCUACGGCGCCAUUUCCACGACCAAAGUAGAUUACUAAGAUUAAUACGCAGAAGAUUAAUACGCACGAACUGAAUGCUCUGAUACCAGUUUUAGAGUUUUACAUGGAAGCAUGUAAUAAUGAACACAAAUAUUAGCCUAAUUUAGUGAUCAUUAUGAGUUCGUAUGCACGAAUCGGGCAGAAUCCACAGACGAAAAUCUACCACUUAUUACCAUCAAAACUUGUGUUUCUUCUAUUCCAAAUGUGAUUAGAUAAACAAGUGUGUCAUCAUGGCUGAGAGGGAUAAAUAUAUAUAUACUAAAUUAAAAUCUCCUACACUAUAUAUACAUACAAUCACUAUUCAUUUUGAACUUGAUGCUGAGAAUGGGAGGCAGGUAUAUGAUUAAAGAAGAAGAAGAAGAAUCAUGCAUUGAUUUUAAAGAAGUGCUUUAAAUUAGAGUUAAGAAACUCAUAGCGUUUAGUGGGGCUGCAAGUUUACCGGUGACUGAAACCUUUAUCCAAUCACAUCCUUACACGUCAGACUCCCCGUAUCGUUAUUCCACGUGUCCCCCCCCCUUCUCACCGACGCCGUCUCCUUUUCCGUUAACUCCCCCCCGAACAAAGAUCAUUAUGCUACAAACCCUAACCCUAUCUCCUUCUCACGAUGGCCGACGACGAAGACCAGAUCCGAUCUCAAUCCGACUCACCCGAUCCGUCUUCUUCUUCGCCGCCGCCGUCGGGAAAAGUCACGGUUACGGUGGCUUUCCCAGGUCCGCCUCAAAAAACUCCCGACGCGUCGCCUCUUGCGCUGCUUCCGAUCAAAUCCAGCGGCGGCGGAGGGAGGGAGGAUUGCUGGAGCGAGAAGGCUACAGGCGUUCUGAUCGACGCGUGGGGGGAGAUUCACUUGGAGCUGAGCAGAGGGAACCUGAAACAGAAGCACUGGGAGAAGGUGGCGGAGACGGUGAGAAGCAAGGAGGAGGAUAACGGUAAGACUCCCAAGACGGAUGUGCAGUGCAAGAACAGGAUCGAUACGGUUAAGAAGAAGUAUAAGCAAGAGAAGUUACGAAGUGG